UGGGGAAUAUUGCACAAUGGAGGGAACUCUGAUGCAGCAACGCCGCGUGCGGGAUGACGGCCUUCGGGUUGUAAACCGCUUUCAGCCAUGACGAAGCUUUUGUGACGGUAGUGGUAGAAGAAGCACCGGCUAACUACGUGCCAGCAGCCGCGGUGAUACGUAGGGUGCGAGCGUUGUCCGGAAUUAUUGGGCGUAAAGAGCUUGUAGGCGGUUUGUUGCGUCGAUAGUGUAAACACGCAGCUUAGCUGUGUGCCUGCUGUCGAUACGGGCUGACUAGAGGAGGGUAGGGGAGCAUUGAAUUCCCGGUGGAGCGGUGGAAUGCGCAGAUAUCGGGAGGAACCCCAGUGGCGAAGGCGGUUCUCUGGACCUUUCCUGACGCUGAGAAGCGAAAGCGUGGGUAGCAAACAGG
rnacentral:rRNA from 1 species